rnacentral:rRNA from 1 species
AGAGUUUGAUCCUGGCUCAGAACGAACGCUGGCGGCGUGCCUAAUACAUGCAGGUCGAACGAGAAAGUCCGGCUUCGGUUGGACAAGUAAAGUGGCGAACGGGUGAGUAACACGUGGGCAAUUUUCCCUUGAAUCUGGGAUAACCCUUCGAAAGGAGGCCUAAUACCAGAUGACACUGUCGAAUGGCAUCUUUUGACAGUCAAAGGCGGAGCAAUCUGUCGUUCAGGGAUGAGCCCGCGGCCCAUUAGCUAGUUGGCGGGGUAAUGGCCCACCAAGGCAACGAUGGGUAGCCGACCUGAGAGGGUGACCGGCCACACUGGGACUGAGAUACGGCCCAGACUCCUACGGGAGGCAGCAGUAGGGAAUAUUGCGCAAUGGACGAAAGUCUGACGCAGCAACGCCGCGUGGGUGAUGAAGCAUUUUGGUGUGUAAAACCCUGUCAGUGGGGAAGAAACGUACCGGUAGUAACUGACCGGUGCCUGACGUACCCGCAGAGA